UUCGUGGAGUGAUCUGUCUGCUUAAUUGCGUUUCAAAAUUUAACUUGAGGACCGGGUUUUGGUUUGGCUAGUGGUUCUACGAUGACUGUGAACUGUCAUGUCUUCGGAUGUGCGACUAUUGGUCUAGGAUCACAUGACUUGCCCCUGGGACUCUUUUGAACGCAACGGACGUGAUUGCAACCCCUUGUUGAGAUUAGAGAUAGUCUCGAUAUUCACUGGACAAACUGGCUGCUUUAUGCAGUCUUGUUGAAUGGUGGAUAAACUCGGGGGACUGCUGACUAUAACCAUUUCUCAAAACAGAGGAAGGUUGCGGCAAUAACAGGUCUGUGAUGCCCUCAGAUGUCCCGGGCUGCACACGUGCUACAAUGAGUGGCGCAAUGUGCUAAUGUUUAAGGGAUAAGAGUGUGGUCAGUAGAACGUCGGGAUUUCCCCUGACGUCUCCCCCGCACGAUUAUCAGCCUUCCCUUAACAGGGCGGGCAACCUUUUCAAAAUACUGGUUUGAUGUUAAAGUAUUGAGUCGUUUUUUUUGGAUGGUGGUUUGUUAACCAAUACCAUCCGGCAACUGCUCGCGAGUUUGUGGUUCUGGCGACUCAUGG
rnacentral:rRNA from 1 species